UGAUAGUAUAAUGGUCAGUAUACCACGCUGUCACCGUGGUGAUCGGGGUUCAAUUCCCCG
rnacentral:tRNA from 14 species